rnacentral:rRNA from 1 species
AAGUCGAACGGUAACAGGAAGAAGCUUGCUUCUUUGCUGACGAGUGGCGGACGGGUGAGUAAUGUCUGGGAAACUGCCUGAUGGAGGGGGAUAACUACUGGAAACGGUAGCUAAUACCGCAUAACGUCGCAAGACCAAAGAGGGGGACCUUCGGGCCUCUUGCCAUCGGAUGUGCCCAGAUGGGAUUAGCUAGUAGGUGGGGUAACGGCUCACCUAGGCGACGAUCCCUAGCUGGUCUGAGAGGAUGACCAGCCACACUGGAACUGAGACACGGUCCAGACUCCUACGGGAGGCAGCAGUGGGGAAUAUUGCACAAUGGGCGCAAGCCUGAUGCAGCCAUGCCGCGUGUAUGAAGAAGGCCUUCGGGUUGUAAAGUACUUUCAGCGGGGAGGAAGGGAGUAAAGUUAAUACCUUUGCUCGUUGACGUUACCCGCAGAAGAAGCACCGGCUAACUCCGUGCCAGCAGCCGCGGUAAUACGGAGGGUGCAAGCGUUAAUCGGAAUUACUGGGCGUAAAGCGCACGCAGGCGGUUUGUUAAGUCAGAUGUGAAAUCCCCGGGCUCAACCUGGGAACUGCAUCUGAUACUGGCAAGCUUGAGUCUCGUAGAGGGGGGUAGAAUUCCAGGUGUAGCGGUGAAAUGCGUAGAGAUCUGGAGGAAUACCGGUGGCGAAGGCGGCCCCUGGACGAAGACUGACGCUCAGGU